CUGAGAGCCGAGGGGAGCGACGGGCGUGACGGGCACCGAGCGACGGGCCACGGGCACCGGGCAUCGCAACCGGGCACCGCGGCGGCACCGCCCCGUGCCGGAGCCCGGCGGUGGGUGUCUGUUAGAAGCUCUUGCCGGUUCGCAGCUGCAGCUCGUUAACUCUUUGUGUCCCCGGGUGCUCGUGCCAAGCGGGGGGCACCCAGGACCCCUCUGUUUGCGGCCCCGUUGCUGACAGCUUUGGCCGCGGCAGCCCGCUCAGGUAUUGUGAUGGGCGGCUCGUGGGCUCCCUCAGCUCAGCUGCUGAUUUAUUAUCCCCCCCCCCCCUUUUUUUUUUCCCCCUUCGAAAAAUAAAAGCCUCUCUUAUUCCCGAACACGAGAGCCAGAGCGAAACUAUGAGGAAGUGCCCUGUUUGCAGAACAUGCUGUGAAACGCACAAAGGAAACGAAGGGAAAACAGCAUUUUGCACGUUUUUCAGCCUCAUUUCAGCCGGGACUUGGAAGCACAGAGGGGAAAUCUUUCCCAGCAGGAUGUACAGAGCGGGAUGGGAGGCGGGAGGGGGCUGGGGGGGAGCAUCCCUCUGGAGUGGGGCCACCUGCGUGAUGGGACAGUGAUAUCCCCGGGGUGUGGGGUCCCUGAAGGGCUGGAGCAGCACAGGCAGGUUGGGUUGGAGGCCUUUUAACACCGACAGCAUUUCUUUCAAAAAAGACUACAAAAAAAAGCUAGAAAAAGCCCUGUGGAGUGCGCCUGGUAUCACAGAUCCCACUGACCCCCCCUGUGUAAACGGGCUUCCCCGGGGGAGUGCACUCCCAUCCCAUUGCAGCGCUCCCACGCAGCUCCCAGAUCUGAGGGUGUUUUUCAGAGCCCAGGGCCGAGGGGAGGAUGUGCUGCUCUCCUCCUGGCCUCGCGCUCUGCCCUUUCUCAGGAACCGGCCAGAUUGUUCCCAUUAGGAGAAGCCAAAGCUCCAAGUGUUUGACCGUGGCCAGGAGAAGAUUUGCUGAUGGUUCUCCGGAACAAUGUUGAACGAGGUGCUUGGCGUGGAGAGAUCCUUUUAUGGUCAAAUUAAGGAGAAAAGCUUUGUGGAUUUGCAUCUGAAGUUGAUUGAUAUGUGGCAUUAAUGCACACGCAGAUCAUUUUGUA